rnacentral:misc_RNA from 1 species
GUUCGAGCGUCAUUUCAACCCUCAAGCCCGGCUUGAUGUUGGGCCCGGUCAGCGAUGACAGGCCUUAAAUCAGUGGUGGUGCCCUGAGGGCCUGAGCGUAGUACCUUCUCUCGCUAUAGGUCCCUGAGGGUCGCUGUCCAACAACCCCCUAACUUUUUAUGGUUGACCUCGGAUCAGGUAGGGAUACCCGCUGAACUUAA